rnacentral:misc_RNA from 1 species
UCCGGUUUGUCACCGGCAGUCUCAUUAGAGUGCCCUUUCGUAGCAACUAAUGACAAGGGUUGCGCUCGUUGCGGGACUUAACCCAACAUCUCACGACACGAGCUGACGACAGCCAUGCAGCACCUGUGUUCCGGUUCUCUUGCGAGCACUCCUCUAUCUCUAAAGGAUUCCAGACAUGUCAAGGGUAGGUAAGGUUUUUCGCGUUGCAUCGAAUUAAUCCACAUCAUCCACCGCUUGUGCGGGUCCCCGUCAAUUCCUUUGAGUUUUAACCUUGCGGCCGUACUCCCCAGGCGGUCAACUUCACGCGUUAGCUACGGUACUGAGGAAUCGCUCCCCCAACACCCAGUUGACAUCGUUUAGGGCGUGGACUAC